AAACUUGAGAGUUUGAUCCUGGCUCAGAACGAACGCUGGCGGCGGGUCUUAGACAUGCAAGUCAAACGGCGGUAGCAAUACCGCAGUGGCGCACGGGUGAGUAGCGCGUGGGAAUAUGCCCUUUGCUGGGGAAUAACAUCGGGAAACUGAUGCUAAUACCGCAUAAGUCCGAAAGGAGAAAGACGAAAGUCGGCGAAGGAUUAGCCCGCGUUGGAUUAGCUUGUUGGCGGAGUAAUAGCCCACCAAGGCGAUGAUCCAUAGCUGGUCUGAGAGGACGAUCAGCCACACUGGGACUGAGACACGGCCCAGACUCCUACGGGAGGCAGCA
rnacentral:rRNA from 1 species